UCUUUGUUUUUUACUAGAUCUUUAGUUUGAAUAUGGAAGUCAAUUAAGAGAAAAGAAGAAAUGCAUCACGUAUCAAUUAGAAUAUAUAUGAAGGAUUUCUAUUACCAAGUUUAAAUCUAACCAAUUUCAUCCCCCCUUUUCUUUUAUUUUAAUCUCUCAAUUUCAACUUUUUCUAUCUAUUUAUUAUUCUUUGGUUAACAUUUCUUAUGUUGCUGUUUUACUUUUAAUAUUUUGAUCUUUUAUAUUUUCUUUUGUCAAUUAUAUUCUAUUUUUCUUUUCUUUUUUUAACUUUAUAAUCAG
rnacentral:lncRNA from 1 species